GAUGAACGCUAGCGGGAGGCCUAACACAUGCAAGCCGAGCGGGAUGUGUUUGUUAGCUUGCUAACUAACAAUGAGAGCGGCGUACGGGUGCGUAGCACGUGUUCAACCUGCCUUUAUCUUGGGUAUAGCCUUUCGAAAGGAAGACUAAUACCCCAUAACAUAUUCAUUGGCAUCGGUGGAUAUUGAAAGCUCCGGCGGAUAGAGAUGGGCACGCGUAAGAUUAGCUAGGGGGUGAGGUAACGGCUCACCAAGGCUGCGAUCAUUAGGGGGCCGGAGAGGGGGAUACCCCACACUGGGACCGAGACACGGACCAGAAUGCUACGGGAGGGAGCAGUGAGGAAUACUGGACAAGGGGUGAGUGCCUGAUCCAGCCAACCCGCGUGAAGGAAUAAGGAGUUAGGGAUGGUAAACUUCUUUUAUACAGGGAUAAUCCUAUUCUAGUGAGCGUAGCUGACGGUACUGUAUGAAUAAGCACCGGCUAACUACGUG
rnacentral:rRNA from 1 species